CAUUUUGGUUGCCUACAAAUGUCUUAUUCAGCGUUUGGUUGCCUUAGCUCCACCCUCUCGUGGCAUUUCUGGGCUGCGGUGGAAUAGUCCUUUUUGCUGAGGAAGGUUCUAACUGAGUGAAAUGACCGGAAGUAUCUAAGACGCCGCCAUCAUGAGAGCUGUUGGAAUCCUCUAAAUUCUAAGGAAAGGUGCGUCAAUGCUUCCUUCAUUAGCUUCUUUAGCAUAGGAAACACUGGUCCGUCCUUUACGAAAAGGAAACUAGAUAAUUCCGCCCCACAAUUCCUUGCGGCGGCACCAUUUAAAGUGACGCACCAUUCGGCCGUCCAUGAAAACAAACGACAUGUUUAUCUUCCACAGGUUGAACAAUUCUACUCAAACAGUCAUAAUGUAAUGGGAUUCAUGUUGAUGCAUAUGAAUAGACAGUGACAAACCUUUCGUUUCAUGUUAUAUGUAUAAGUUUACUCAGAAGAUGUAACAAAUAAGUAAAAACAUUUUGAUAUUUGAAAUUGAUAUUGAACAGUUUCAUUGAUAUUUCACGAGUGUUAAUUGUUAAAUGUGACAGCAGCAGGAAGGAAGGAGCUCCGGUUUGUCUCCUUCACACCACGAGUGAAACACCCUCUCACGAAAGAAGCAGUGUAAUAGAUUUCAUGGGGUCAUGUUUUAGUUGUGCUUUUUGUAGUCCUUUGUUGUAGUUUCUCCAUGGCAGACCUACGUCAGGGACAUCCGCCCUCGCAUCAUAAUUACGUAGCUUAGCUUAGUGUAGUCUGGUUCUCUAAACACCACGGUUGUCUUUUCCUAACUCCUCGUGAACUCUCCUUCACCUCUUUCCUUGACCCCAUGAUGUUUUCCAUACAGGUCAAGGAUAAGUGGUUAGAAAUAGACGUUAAGAGGUCAUAAUUGGACACUUCGACCGCAGCCCUGGUUGCAAAAAAAACCAAGAUGGCGACUGACAGACUGCCGAACUCGAGGCUUUGAAACUGUAGUCCAUAAACCAAUGGGUGACGCUCCCCGGGGCUUUGUCUACUUCUUAUAUACAGUCUGAAGAAGACGGCGUAGUUGAGAUUAGCAUCAGCCGAAGGGAGCCGUAAGCUGCUCUCUAACUCCCCUCAACAAGCACCGAGGUGCUUCUGUGUCCUGUUCGAAAUGUGUCAUCAGCUGUCCCGGCAGGUGCGUUGCCACACAAACCUCUGAAGUGGCUUCAGAGCUUCUUGCCUGGAAAGGUCACCGCAGGAGUGGGUUAAAUAUCCCCCGGAGGAGCGAGCGGGGCAAGCCGGUCGGUGAUUUGUGAGAGCUGCUUCGCCUCCCUUCCCAAUGACCUUGACCAAUUCUCCCUCCCUUUUAACUUACAAGUCACUCUCUAGAAAAACGGCCCGGUCACCAUGUGUCUGAUGUGCCAGCAGUCAUUAGUCGUAGUCUGAUUGAGGAGCUGAAGGAAAUUAAAAGAAAUAAACUAAAAAGCCAUUAGAGGUCAAGCCAUCACAACAACCGCACACAAAACAUUAUCCUCUGUUUUGCUUUAAUCCAAUUAGACAUCCGCUGAAGCUUCAGUUGUUUUCAGGCAAGCCUGAUUAACUUUGUUGUGAAUCGCUGUGCUUGUGCCUGUUGUUUUCCCCCCUUUCUUGAGUUUGGCUCAAGAAAGGAUCAGCCAUUAAAAUCAACUCUUUAACUUACUUUUUGUGGAAUUGUAGCUCGGACCACGGCUGCCCGAUUACAGCAAAAACGAUAAUGGCAAUUGUUUGCAUAAUUAGGAUUUACACUAUUGUUAAUUUGUAUCAGUUUAAUAGUGUCUUAUUCUAUAUAGAACACUUUGAGUUGACGGCAAGGUUGCCUCCACAUUUACACUCUACUUGAUGUACCCCAAAAUCGACUAUCUUUUAUUAGAAUAUAGAAGUCUGAUGGGCUAUAUGAAUACAAUUAAAAUAGACUGAAUUGAAGGAUCUAUCUAUUUAAACAGUCACAGGUGUGAAGCGCCGUCACCAGUGCUGCUGUCCUGGACCAAAUGAAGUCGGGUGCCGUUUUGCCACUCGAGUAUGAAUUAGUUAAAGGUAUUUUUGUUCGUGAUAAUCCUAGUCGUUAGACUCACUUAGGAGGAAUUGAGCGAUUCUUCUCGCGUGCCACAGUCCUCUGAGAAAUAGGAUUGAGACUGCUAGAGACGUAAUUAUUGAGAACAAUUUCCUGCCGUUCGCGAGCUAGAUCUUUGUGGAAAAAAAUCAAAAUCUUCCGUUCCGUGUCCUCUCUGUGGCGUGGUCCCCCCCCCCCCCCCUUGUUUUUAAAGACGCCAUUUGGAAUUCAUUACCAGGACUCCGUAUGCAGAUUCGGAAGGGCUUUGAUUAAAGCUCUAACAAGCACUUGAUGGUUGGGGAUAUCACAUUUCCUUUUGUUUUAAUGCACUCUGUUAGGCUCACUCACAGUUAAUAAGUCACAAUCAAUCUACCUGCUGUACGCACUGAGGCUUUGUAAGAGCUUAACAGGACCCCUGAGAGAUGGAAUAAUUUCACUUCUGAAACAGACUGACAGAGUGAGCGCCUCUCAUUGAUGUUUUGCAUCUGUGUGGGAUCGUAGUAGCUUCCAUUGCGUAUUUAUACACUUGUGUACGAGGGUGUAGGAGAUAAAGGAGGCCGCUAAAGGAAGCCUGUCAGACAUUGCCACACUGGGUAGACGGGCUCAUGUUGUCUCCUCUCCAUUUCCACUCGGAAGAGUGCAGUUGCCUUAAGCGAAGUGUGUCGUGUUUGAUGACCUCAGAAAGCGUUUCUCUCGAAAUACCUGACUUCUGCUCUCUCGUGUCCGAGUCAUCCCAUCCUGUGGAUGGAAACAUCCGAUUUCAUCAUUUCGUUACUUGAGCAACUCUUAAAAAAAAAAAAAGCGGAGAUGCAUCGACGGUCCUCCUGCACGCUGGAAUGUUUGGGGGGGUCAAAGCCGUAAUCCAGAAGCCUGCCCGUGAACCUUGUGGCGGCGGUGAGUUAAAGGUCCCGUUUACGGUUCCCUGUGCGUUACAUCUCUUCGCUGAGGCGCGACGCUCGGGGCAACACUCUACUUGCUGAGUCGAGGCUCAGAAUGCAUCGUCGCUGUUUUUCUCUCCCCAGUGACAUAUCAAGCUGGCAUUUUAGCAUUUCUAAGGUUGAUUGAAUACUUCAUUAAAUUCAGAUUUGUUCCCUUUGAUUUACUACAAUAAAGCAUUCCUAACGGUGUCCCGUAUACUGGAAACACAAGAGAACCGCUCUUCAGACGACUAUGGGAUGUGUAUGAGCUGUGUCACAAUAUAUGUUGAAGCAGGUGAGUGCAGUUGGCAUUCAGGCACAGUGUUUGUCUGUAUCUCUAAAAGUUUACAUGCAUGUCAUGAGUCCGAUUGAACAGUUUACCUUCGCGUUCAUUGUAGGUGGAGAGCACCAGGACACUGGCAGCACGCGGGCACAUCAUCGCAGCACGCAGUGGGCUACAACUCGGUAUUAACUUGAAACUAAUCAGGGGUACCCGAGCGUGGACAGUGACAUUCUGGACGCACCGCUGCACUGAACACACCAGCACGCGCAGCUCCAUGAAAGAUGUUUAGGACAUUACAAAGUGCCCUCUCCCCCCCCCCCCUCCACAUCCUCAUCCAAAACACGGAGAUGCUGUCGGUGUGGCAGCUUCCUGCAUCUUGUCAUUUGCAGGGGUUUUCCCCAAAAGUAGCACCUGGAGCAGUUUAUUUAUUUUGUUUACAAACCAUUUUUGUGAAGGCACCGCAUUUUUUAAUUGAAAUCGAGAAAGGCCCGUGGCUGCAGCUAACACUGUAUAAUGCGGUAGGGCACAGUCGAGGCUGUAAUUGUUUUUGAUUGAAUUUGAUAGCGACAGGACAGGGAGAAGUUACUAACCAAAGAAAAAAAGAAAAACAAAUCUAUUAUGCUUUCUAGGCAUUUGAAUUUAAUACCGUCCGUCUUGUAAACAAAGCUGAAUUGCUGGUUUGUGCAAUCACGUAAAUGGCAUGAAAAGACCAAUGCCCGGCUCAGAAUACUGUAAACGGGGUCCAAUCUUCAGCCUCAGCCAUCACUUUAAAACCCUCGUGCAUCUGGCAAAAUAAUAGCAAUGUCUUAAAAACGUGUGUUCUUCACCUAUCUGUCGACUCCUCUCAAUAAAGCAUUGAGAUGAACCGUUUCUAUUGGCCAUGACUGAGGCCAGUCUUCUUCUUCUUCUUCUUCUUCUUAAUCUCCCCCAGUUUCCAAACUGCAUCGCAGGUGCGCUCUGCACGUCUGGUCACCAAAAUAACCAACGCGGCUCUUUCCACGGUUUGUUCGUCACAACCGAGUGCACUUUGCGCCGGCGAGUCUCGCACAUUUGCUUCACACCUGUUAAUAACUUCCCACCUUCAGCCAUCCUGUGUAAUCGCCACCGGGGCAAAGUUGGAAAAAAGAAUCGGCGGCAUUGGAUCGUCUACGCUGAUCCCAGUAAUUCACCAAAUUAAGAGUAUGCAACCUUACUGACACAAAUCUGUUUGCAGAUAGUCUGAGCUUGUUGAUGCUUUUUUUUUUUUUUUUUUUGUUCAAUCCGCUCUUCACUUCAGAAAGCAGCGUAUUUUUGUCUGAUCCUUCACUCAAAAAAACCACAAAGCAGCCAAAUGCAACGCUGAGCAGGCUUUUUCCAGCCCUAUCUGAAAGAGAUUAGAGGAACAUGCGUCUCCUUCUUUGAGCUCACAUUUCAAACUCUGCCUUCACGUCAUUACUUAACCGCUGGUGGAGCACUCGUUAGAGAGAAGGAUAAAAAAAAACGAGAGUGCGAGCUACGUGCUGUGAGCGGGCCCAGUCAGCUCGGACAUCUCGGUCCUGGUUUAUGUUGGGAACCCAAAUUAGAUUGUCGCAACUAAAUAGCUCAGUAAUGGGAUCACUGGGAUCAUUUUUUUACUCAUCUUCCCGCUCUUUCAGGUCUUCGGCUGUCUCUUUCAGCCACGUCUCUGCCUUUUCCCCAAAGCAUUAGCGGAGAAUAAAGUCUGUUAAGAGAGAUGUGCGGGAGGCUGAAUGUAGUUCAGUUUGUUCAGUGGCGUGUCUUUGGAGAGCCCCCAAAUAGCAAACUGUUUGUUUUUUUCCCUUUUUAAGAUGAAAUGUGCAUGUUUGUCUUUGUUAUUGAGAGAGACAAAGACACAGAGAGAGAGAGAGAGAGAGAGUGUUGAUGUUGUGGCAAGUGUGAGGAAGGUUUCUUUUGAUUUUCAGGAAGGUUCCAUGAGAUUUUGACAGGGGCUGAGAGGACAUGGAAGAAAAUUCUUUGAUGCCGACUGUCAACAAAAGGCCUCUGCAACAUACAAAUAGCUAUUUAUCCUCUCCCGCUUUUUUUUCUUCUUUCUCCUCCUUUAUCUCCUCUCUUCCUCGCUAAAUGUUUGGGCAGAGCCCGUCAGCCUUUUGCACUGAACUGCUAAGCGAAUGGACGCCUCUCGUCUCAACUGUCUGUCUCACUCUGUCCGAGCAGCAAUAAACAGCGGGACAUGUUAAGCCCACACCACGGCAGGAAAUGCCAACAAUGAGUGAUGAAAACACUGGUUUGGUUGGUGUUUGCAAAACUAGACUUGAUGGGUUAAGGUAAAAAAAAAAAAAAACCUCCAGCAGCAGCAACCAGUCACACUAUCUCCUGGCAGCACAAAGCAGCUCUGCUGGCUGUGUUCUCAAUUGCGACAGGUUUGAAUAUGGCCUAAUAAAAGAGAGACGGAGCGGAAAUUUCACCCAAUUCCUGCAGAUAAGAGGGUAUUGUUUCAGAAACUCGUGAGCUUUUUGUUGGAAAAAUGUGAGAAUUUAGAUUGGCUAAAAGAAGCAAGAAAUCUCCCCCCCCCCUCUCUUUUUUGUCUUUGUGUUUUGUGGCUCCGCUCUCUGUGCCUGUUUUUUUUAUAAAGACAAGCCAGGGCGACAAAAUGUAUCCUGAAGAUUAAUUAAAAAUUGUUGAUUGGGGUUUAGACAGCGUGUAUAUGUGCACGGGGAGUUGAGAGGUGUGAUACCCCGAUGGUGCGCUUUUGGCACAGCGCCAAUGCAAAGUUGUUUUUUUGUUUGUUAUUAAUAGUACAAAGACAACAAAUACACGCAAAUGCUUAUUCUUUGAGUGGCUAAUUGAAUUUGAAAUGGCCCCUCACAUCUUUGUGUUUGCUUCAAGUCGAGCCAAACGCUGUUCCUGUAUCUGCACCGCCUAACUGAAACUUAUCUUCACGCCACACCACCUUAAACAUGUACUAUAUGUAUAUUUAUGUGCAUCUCUUUAGGAACACAGACGGGAGAUUUCCAUCGUGUGGUCCUGACUGUGUCACUGGCAGAAGCUUCAGUCAACGCUCUCCUUCAGAGCGUUAACCGUCCACAUACGAUUCGGGUCGUAAUGCCCAGCGGUCGCACCGGAUAACUGAUCAUCUGUUUUAAAUUCAGCCACGUUUUGUCGCUUGGGCCGUAGAGGCUGUUGCGAUUGGAUUUAUUUCUCCACAGGUGUGCACAUUUCUAAAGACAACAUUAAUGUAAGCGCACCAUGGUUCCAUGGUAACUUGGCAACAGUCCUCAGGUUGGCUCCUGAUCACUGGCGGGGCGGACUCAGCGACACUGAUUAAGUGAAGUUCAUGAUGGAAGAGUUAAAGGUGCUAAAUUCCAAAUUCAGAGAGCAUCUGCGAUCGGAGGAUUGCCUCCACAUGGCUCUCAACAUGGCAACGGCUACACUUUAUCUUUAUGUAGAAAAUAGCUGUUUGCUGCUAUAAUUAAUGCUCCGAAUAUCAAAUUCAGCACAUUAAACACACAUAAAUAGACCAAAAUAGUAUAGCAAAACAAUAUGUGAUUAUAUAAUCUGUUCCUUAUGUUUCUCUCUUGGUCACUGUGGUGUAAUAUUCCACAUGCAGUCACAUCGUCAUCUGGACAGAAUAGGCGAUACACCAGAUUACAUCACUUACUUUCAGCGAGCCGAACAAUUAGGAGCAGUGAUGGAAUUUGUGCGAGUAUCAAGCCAUACUUGGGAGAUAUUCUGUCUCUUUAAGAAUCCUCUCAACUCCCCAAAUGCCCUGUCGGAUUGCAGUGUGAUCACAUUGGGCCGUGCAGAAGUGGCUGAAUUGGAAUCUUAUCUUCUUCCAUCUUUCCCAUUACGGGCAGAUUGAAAGCCCUGCAGCGGUGCUCUGGCCCGGUCCCCAGUCAAGACGGCUUUUUAGACCGCAAUUUGACAGCUUCUAAAAAAAAAAAAAAAAAAUGUCACAUUUUGUUGUUAAGAUGCACUGCCAAGCACUUGAGCCAUACAUGCUGUGGCAUCGGCCCCAGUUGGGUUGUGAAGCCUUCGCUGACCUUCCCUUCACUCCCGGGCAUCACUCCUGGCACUACCUGUCUCCUGGUGUCAGUUUGACAUUAUGAACUUAAAGAGCCUGAUGCGUAGCAGCAAGGCACAAAGCCACUUUCCCCCGGCUUUCAUCCCGUCCUCGACAGACAGCACUGCUAGCCACGCUUGCUCAGUGCUCGUGAAAAGUCUGUGAAAUGACGGGCAUAAAAAACGGUGUGUACUAAUGCAUGUAAACAGUGGUUUUUCUUCUUUUAAAUCUUUGAGCUUUGAGGUUCAUUGUUUGGUAUCUUUGCAUGUCUUGUAUACAUCUUGUAUACCUUCACACCGGUAUCACCGUGCCGGCUUUAAAGCAGGCAAAUGUGCUCGGUUGUAUUUCCUCCAGGUUUAUGCUGAAGGAACUGGUGGAUCUUUCAUAUCCGCUGCCGUUGUUACUGCUGUGGAGGCUCUGACGAUGACAUUCUUUCGAGAUGAAAUAACAAAGACAAGUCCGCAAUAAAAAAAAAGGUUUUAAGAAGGUCAGAUGUUUUUUAUGCGUCCGUCCACCUUUGUCGUCUCGGGCAGCACAGAAGCCCGUCUCUCUGCUCUGUAGUCUUUUUCUUCAGUUGGGCAUAUGGGCCGAAGCUGCAUCUCAGACACACUCAGGGGGGGCAGCACUGCCGUGACAUAGGAAGUGUGAGGGAGAAUAGCAGGGAGGGGGGAGGGGGGGGGGCCCUGCUGUCCACCAUCUGGGCAAAUGGCAAGUCUUUAUGCCAGCAUGGUAGCCGCUGAAGAAAGAGGGCACGGGGGGGGCAUAGCGGGAAGCUCCGAAGACAGACAAGAGGGGGCACCUGCAGACACGGGUCAUUCUUCCUCGGUAAAAGAGCCACUCGGUAACACCUGUGCUCCCGCUCCCCUCUGCCCCACUUCAGACACUCUGUCAGAAAGCCCGUGCUCAGCAGAACUGCAGGCUCCCAAAACAAAAGACUUUUGCAGGCUCGGCGGAGAGAGAGAGCGUGCAGGUGAAUAACAAUAACCGCUCCUUCAGUUAUUCAUAUAUUCAUAUGUGUGUUCAUAUUUAGCCUUCGCUGUGAGGGUGACGAACAGCGGUUUGCCGAAGGCCGCGCCGACGCCGACUCGCGGCACCCGGUUUCUCUCCUCCUGGCGCGGAAAAGCGGUUAACGGGGCAAGAAAGUGACAGGGCGACUGGUCGGGGUGUCCUCUGUGGGUCUGGUGUUGCGUUCGCCGGGCGGGCAUAUUAAAAGAACAGCACUCCUAAUGAGGAGGAAUCUGACAUGUCUCAGCUGGGGCGAUGGGGAGAGAGCGAGCGGUGUGGCAGGCCCCUUAUGUUCGACUGAUGUAUUAGCCAUUGAGGGCUCAUACAGCCGCUCGGAUGGCGGGCGGCAGUUACCCAAAAGCUAAUAGAUCCUCGUGCGUUAUAUGCUCCCUCCCCGGAGAGGUGCCAUAGCCAUCCCCCUGCAAAGGCGCUGAACGUGAACAUGUUCAACCCCCGGCCCGCUCAAAUCUCCCCCCCCUCCCUCCCUCCCGGCUCACGGUCUCGGUGCACCCAAUCCUUUCAUCCUCAUAUCUCUCAAUCCAGGUAAGGCUUGGCUGGAGACCAGUGUUCUGUAGAACAGAGGCCCUCUUGGCUGCGCAAUCGAUUUUUCCUGCGGGGGCAGAAUGUACAGUGCGCGUGGCCGCGUCGAGGGGAAAUGUAAAUGGACCGAGCUCCCGAAAAUGAUCGGGGCAGCCUGGGCUGCGCGUGGAUCAGGGAGCAUGUAAGCACCAGAUAGCGUUUACCCCCGGUUUUAACUAAAGCACUCAGACAUUCUCCUCUCCGCAGCCCUGUAAUUCCCUCCGAGUGCACGGUGUGAAAGUGAAGCACUGUUAUCAGCCGCUACCAAAUGCAUUAGUCCUCCUCCGACCGCUGCAAACGGACCGCCUGGCUGUAGAUCGUUCCCUCCACACAGAAUGGAGGCGAUGAAGAAGUUGUAAAUUAGGAUUGCGUACUUUCAUGCCCCUUAAUGAUUACGGCACCCCUGGGCUGCACAAUCACUCCCUCUCUGUAAUUUUGAAUUAAAUACGACGUAUACCUGUCAGUGAACGGAGAAUAAAUUGACGGUCUUACCUGAUGUCACCCGCGGUAAUAAUGCAUGGUGAUGACACAGCAUGAUUCCGACCACUUUGCACUUAUUUCUCUGCAUGGCGUGUGGGCAGUGAGUGCAGAGACCUGGAGGAACUGGACGUGGUUAGUUUGAUGGGACUGCUUCUAAGUGCUGCUAUUUGGGCCGAUUAUUUUCUUAUUGAGGUUAUUUUGGUGUGAAGAUUUGCUGUUGUGUGUUGAUGGCAGAUGCAUCAUGUAAUUCCUGAAACACUAUGAUGUCUGAUGUUUUGUGUAUAAAAGAUAUUAGGCAAGCCAGAUGAGGUUUUAUACUGGUUUAAACACCUGAGUUGGCAUUAUUUCAUUUUUUUUAUGAUGCAGAUUAAUGUCAAAGACAGCCAUUGAUCUCAGGGGAUGAGUACCAGAGAUCCAGUGUAUAUGUUUUGAAAGAAUUGUGGUUUACGAUAUGAAGAUUUCUAUUUUCAGUAUAAAUUAUAUAAAGAUAUGGUUUAACUCAAUAUUGCAUUAAGUGUUUAUCCUAUAUAGAUGGAUUUAAUGAUUGCAAAGUCUCAAAUAAGAUAUUACAGAUGUUGUUUGCUGCAGUCACCAUUAUUGUGCUUUGCAUCAGACAAUUCUGUCUCAAGAACAAUUCAUUUUUUCAGUUAUGCAACACAAUCUGAUUGGAAUCGGUAUCAUACUGUAUGAACAUAGUACAAUUGCACUGGAAUGAAUGAAUGGUAAUAUUAAUACAGAUUACAGCAGUAAUCUGCUGCGUUACAGAAUCUAUUUGUCUCACUUCCUGUUUGCUCCGUCUAGCCACGGCGAGUUCUUCAGGGCUCCGGCCUUGAAUUAGCUUUGAUACCUUUUUAUAAACGUGUGAACAUUGGCCCAGAUCCUCCUGUAGCAUUCUUCAGCGCCACCUGGCAAACGGUGUUAAAUAUCAAACUCUUGUUUUUUGUUUUUUUUGCACCAUUUGGGAAAAGACUUGUCCAAACAUUGUUGAUUCAGAAUUAAUUAUGUAAUGUGUUUUAGAAUGGGGUCUAUUUGAAGGUUACAUUUUUCCAUUAUAUUCCACAGUUUCAGGGAGGUGGUGGCCCUGUAGAGAUAAGACGACAACUGUGCAGCCCCCCCCGCCCCCCCAUUCAAAACAUGUCUUUAAAAGCAAAUAAAAUGCCUCAGCAGCUGUUUGGAUUGGUUGAACUGUAUUGACAAUCUGUUAAAGGGUGGGGGGUGAAAAAAGGGGGCUUAUUUUCCCUUUUGUAGAAUUUGACAGUGAUAAAACUGGAUUGCAGCAAUAAUGGCUGUCAUGGAUCAACACCUAGAAACAUUUUACUCUGCUGAUGUGGACAUGAAUGGGAUCCAAAGUCAUGUCUCCCCCUGGCUGACUGCCAGGACCUUCACAGGAGCUUUAAUAAAUGGUUUGUACCAGCAGACGGUCCUUGGCCUGUGCGGGUGUUUCUCUGUGUGUGUGUGUGUGUGUGUGUGUGUGUGUGUGUGUGUGUGUGUGUGUGUGUGUGUGUGUGUGUGUGUGUGUGUGUGCGCGUGCUAAAAGAGAAAUCUGAUUGGCUCACCAAGAGGAAAGACAUCAUUUUAAAUAAGUCCUCAAUGUUAAACUGUUUGCUCUUGGGCUUAGGGAUUGCUCACCUCUCCAAAUACUAUUUUAGCUUGAAAGCACAAUAUUUCCCAGCCGGAGCUUUCACAGGGAAGAAAGAGGGAGGGCCCUGGUGCUGCAGCUUCAUGGAGGUGGCUCGCAGGCAUACUCCAUUCUGACAGAAUGAGGAGGCACUCUGCAAGAGUGUGGCGGAGAGGAAAGGGGCCCUAUUAAUAAAAUGACUCCAUAAUGGGUAGUUCCCUGUAGCUUGGCACAGGAAGACGGGCGGAUUGAUGGACGAGGCCGAGGCCUACUUCCUCGAGCAUACUGAGCGCGACUGUGUGCACAUGCCUCUGUGGGGUCUGGCUAAACGCAAAAGGCCAUACUGAAGUCCCAUUCAUAUAGGAAGGAAGAACCGUAUAAAUGGGUUUCCUGUGUUGUGUAAAAGGGGUCCGUUUUAAGCUAGCCGUACAUCACGGAUAAGCCCGGUCGCAAAGCCGUCCUGAGAUGGCGGUUAAGCCGUAUGAAAGCUUCCGCUUUUUGUUUUGUUUUUAAUUUCAAAUUACGCAAUAUGUUCUGCGACACAGAUGGCUGAUUUGGAAGAUGGCAGCAGAUAGAGUUUACCUUAAUUAUAAUCUAAACAGUAAGGUAGACAACACUCCCUGGAUGAUGGUAUCACGUUGGGAAAAUGCACAUUUGGCAGACGUGAAAUAGCAUUUGCCUAUUGUUCACAAUAAAAAGGAUAUGCAAGUAUGAUUAAGGCUGGCUCGGGCAGUGCGAGAGAUGUGCUAAUAAAAUGUCGCUCUGCCACAACAGCGUUACAGUCUGCCCUAACAACAUAGCAGCCUCCCCAAGGCACCGGUCCAUCAUCCUUUCAUUACAUUUCUUUGUAACAGUACAUUGAUUAGAGUGGCCUCAGCAUGACUGCCGUUUUAAUUGUGUAUUUGCCGAUCUGAGAGCUGCACAGAGCGCCGUGCUAGGAUCUGCACCAACCAUUGCAGCAAUGCUCUGAGGCAUUCUUUGACACACAAAGUUCAUCGUUAGAAUAUACAUCAGCUUGCAUCACCAUAGCGACCUCCUUGGAUGCCGAGCGGGGGACCUCAUAAAUAUGUAAUCCUGACAGAUUUGAGGAAUUGUUUUCCUCAAGUGUUCCUCUCAAGCCAUUUUGUUAAUGUCAACAUGAAGGAAAGUUACUGGAAUAAGUGUUGACAUUCAGCCCAUGGUGUAUAUCAUUAAUAAUUACAUACACGUGGAAAUUUCUGUCAGAUGACUGCGGAAAAACACUCGAAUCGCGCUUCUCCGUCGCUCUCGUUUUUCCGUAAUUAGGUUUUAAAAAAUAGAUGAAGUGUGGACGUGAACGCUGUAAUCUCACUCCUCUCGUGUUGCCAUAGCAUGCGCUUCAUUCAUAGUGUAAUAUGUAGAGAACCAUAUGGCAGUUUUUCAUUCCUCAAAUACGUGGUUGUCCGUUGGUAAUUAUAAUUGCUGGGGUGUCCUUAUGGCUGCUCUUGUUCUCCUCUCUCUAUCCUGUCCCAAAAAAAAUAUAUAAUGAAGACAUUUUACAUCGCUUUGAAAUCGGUAUGCAAAUUGUCAUUAGUCGAACAGUAUUGGAUACAAACCAGGUGAAGAAUCCUGCAAAACAAAUUCACUGUGAGAAAAGUAAAGAGGAACAGGGUAGACGGAGCAGACGGCAGAUAAGAGCCUCUUCACCCUACAUAACUGUGCUUUUUCUAUCUGUGUGUGUGUGUGUGUGUGUGUGUGUGUGUGUGUGUGUGCGUUUGCACUCUAGCCGUGCAGUUUUAUCACUUCUGCUGAGGGUUGCCACUCAUCCAUUAUUCCUUUUGGGAAAGAGAGAGGUUGUGUUCCAGAUUAAACAUAGCUGGCUCGGCCUCUGCCGAGGACCUGAACAAAAAAAAAGUGCUCGUCCAUCUAGGCUCGCGCUUAAGAACAAUGUCCCUUUUGCCCCCUUGUGUAAUUGCGAGAGCUUAUAGGCAGCUAAAAUGUUGCCCUCUGCUCCUCGUUACGCCGGCACUUGUAAAAAGCGCUCAAGCGUGGACGCAGCACACUGCAGCUCAACGUUCCCGGGCAAUAAUAUAGAUCUCCUCUACAAAAGAACAAUCGAAAGGGUUGUCACAAAUUUGUCCAUUGUCACCGGGUCGCUAUCACUCCUCUGUUAAUUGCCGUCAUUGUAAUAGAAUAUGAGAUGCUCCACGCUGCAAAGGGAGUGUUGA